GACGAACGCUGGCGGCGUGCUUAACACAUGCAAGUCGAACGGAAAGGCCCUGCUUUUGUGGGGUGCUCGAGUUGCGAACGGGUGAGUAACACGUGAGUAACCUGCCCUUGACUUUGGUAUAACUUCAUGAAACUGGGUCUAGUAACGGAUAGGAGCUCCUGCUGCAUGGUGGGGGUGGGAAAGUUUCGGCGGUUGGGGAUGGACUCGCGGCUUAUCAGCUUGUUGGUUGGGUAGUGGCUUACCAAGGCUUUGACGGGUAGCCGUCCUGAGCGGGUGACCGGACACAUUGGGACUGAGAUACGGCCCAGACUCCUACGGGAGGCAGCAGUGGGGAAUAUUGCACAAUGGGCGGAAGCCUGAUGCAGCAAAGCCGCGUGCGGGAUGACGGCCUUCGGGUUGUAAACCGAUUUCGCCUGUGACGAAGCGUGAGUGACGGUAAUGGGUAAAGAAGCACCGGCUAACUACGUG
rnacentral:rRNA from 1 species